rnacentral:rRNA from 1 species
GGUUAAGCGACUAAGCGUACACGGUGGAUGCCCUGGCAGUCAGAGGCGAUGAAGGACGUGCUAAUCUGCGAUAAGCGUCGGUAAGGUGAUAUGAACCGUUAUAACCGGCGAUUUCCGAAUGGGGAAACCCAGUGUGUUUCGACACACUAUCAUUAACUGAAUCCAUAGGUUAAUGAGGCGAACCGGGGGAACUGAAACAUCUAAGUACCCCGAGGAAAAGAAAUCAACCGAGAUUCCCCCAGUAGCGGCGAGCGAACGGGGAGCAGCCCAGAGCCUGAAUCAGUGUGUGUGUUAGUGGAAGCGUCUGGAAAGGCGCGCGAUACAGGGUGACAGCCCCGUACACAAAAAUGCACAUACUGUGAGCUCGAUGAGUAGGGCGGGACACGUGGUAUCCUGUCUGAAUAUGGGGGGACCAUCCUCCAAGGCUAAAUACUCCUGACUGACCGAUAGUGAACCAGUACCGUGAGGGAAAGGCGAAAAGAACCCCGGCGAGGGGAGUGAAAAAGAACCUGAAACCGUGUACGUACAAGCAGUGGGAGCCUCUUAAUGGGGUGACUGCGUACCUUUUGUAUAAUGGGUCAGCGACUUAUAUUCUGUAGCAAGGUUAACCGAAUAGGGGAGCCGAAGGGAAACCGAGUCUUAACUGGGCGUUAAGUUGCAGGGUAUAGACCCGAAACCCGGUGAUCUAGCCAUGGGCAGGUUGAAGGUUGGGUAACACUAACUGGAGGACCGAACCGACUAAUGUUGAAAAAUUAGCGGAUGACUUGUGGCUGGGGGUGAAAGGCCAAUCAAACCGGGAGAUAGCUGGUUCUCCCCGAAAGCUAUUUAGGUAGCGCCUCGUGAAUUCAUCUCCGGGGGUAGAGCACUGUUUCGGCAAGGGGGUCAUCCCGACUUACCAACCCGAUGCAAACUGCGAAUACCGGAGAAUGUUAUCACGGGAGACACACGGCGGGUGCUAACGUCCGUCGUGAAGAGGGAAACAACCCAGACCGCCAGCUAAGGUCCCAAAGUCAUGGUUAAGUGGGAAACGAUGUGGGAAGGCCCAGACAGCCAGGAUGUUGGCUUAGAAGCAGCCAUCAUUUAAAGAAAGCGUAAUAGCUCACUGGUCGAGUCGGCCUGCGCGGAAGAUGUAACGGGGCUAAACCAUGCACCGAAGCUGCGGCAGCGACACUAUGUGUUGUUGGGUAGGGGAGCGUUCUGUAAGCCUGUGAAGGUGUACUGUGAGGUAUGCUGGAGGUAUCAGAAGUGCGAAUGCUGACAUAAGUAACGAUAAAGCGGGUGAAAAGCCCGCUCGCCGGAAGACCAAGGGUUCCUGUCCAACGUUAAUCGGGGCAGGGUGAGUCGACCCCUAAGGCGAGGCCGAAAGGCGUAGUCGAUGGGAAACAGGUUAAUAUUCCUGUACUUGGUGUUACUGCGAAGGGGGGACGGAGAAGGCUAUGUUGGCCGGGCGACGGUUGUCCCGGUUUAAGCGUGUAGGCUGGUUUUCCAGGCAAAUCCGGAAAAUCAAGGCUGAGGCGUGAUGACGAGGCACUACGGUGCUGAAGCAACAAAUGCCCUGCUUCCAGGAAAAGCCUCUAAGCAUCAGGUAACAUUAAAUCGUACCCCAAACCGACACAGGUGGUCAGGUAGAGAAUACCAAGGCGCUUGAGAGAACUCGGGUGAAGGAACUAGGCAAAAUGGUGCCGUAACUUCGGGAGAAGGCACGCUGAUAUGUAGGUGAAGCGACUUGCUCGUGGAGCUGAAAUCAGUCGAAGAUACCAGCUGGCUGCAACUGUUUAUUAAAAACACAGCACUGUGCAAACACGAAAGUGGACGUAUACGGUGUGACGCCUGCCCGGUGCCGGAAGGUUAAUUGAUGGGGUUAGCGGUAACGCGAAGCUCUUGAUCGAAGCCCCGGUAAACGGCGGCCGUAACUAUAACGGUCCUAAGGUAGCGAAAUUCCUUGUCGGGUAAGUUCCGACCUGCACGAAUGGCGUAAUGAUGGCCAGGCUGUCUCCACCCGAGACUCAGUGAAAUUGAACUCGCUGUGAAGAUGCAGUGUACCCGCGGCAAGACGGAAAGACCCCGUGAACCUUUACUAUAGCUUGACACUGAACAUUGAGCCUUGAUGUGUAGGAUAGGUGGGAGGCUUUGAAGUGUGGACGCCAGUCUGCAUGGAGCCGGCCUUGAAAUACCACCCUUUAAUGUUUGAUGUUCUAACGUUGGCCCCUGACCGGGGUUGCGGACAGUGUCUGGUGGGUAGUUUGACUGGGGCGGUCUCCUCCUAAAGAGUAACGGAGGAGCACGAAGGUUGGCUAAUCCUGGUCGGACAUCAGGAGGUUAGUGCAAUGGCAUAAGCCAGCUUGACUGCGAGCGUGACGGCGCGAGCAGGUGCGAAAGCAGGUCAUAGUGAUCCGGUGGUUCUGAAUGGAAGGGCCAUCGCUCAACGGAUAAAAGGUACUCCGGGGAUAACAGGCUGAUACCGCCCAAGAGUUCAUAUCGACGGCGGUGUUUGGCACCUCGAUGUCGGCUCAUCACAUCCUGGGGCUGAAGUAGGUCCCAAGGGUAUGGCUGUUCGCCAUUUAAAGUGGUACGCGAGCUGGGUUUAGAACGUCGUGAGACAGUUCGGUCCCUAUCUGCCGUGGGCGCUGGAGAACUGAGGGGGGCUGCUCCUAGUACGAGAGGACCGGAGUGGACGCAUCACUGGUGUUCGGGUUGUCAUGCCAAUGGCACUGCCCGGUAGCUAAAUGCGGAAGAGAUAAGUGCUGAAAGCAUCUAAGCACGAAACUUGCCCCGAGAUGAGUUCUCCCUGACUCCUUGAGAGUCCUGAAGGAACGUUGAAGACGACGACGUUGAUAGGCCGGGUGUGUAAGCGCAGCGAUGCGUUGAGCUAACCGGUACUAAUGAACCGUGAGGCUUAACCUU